UACGAAGGGUGCUAGCGUUGUUCGGAAUUACUGGGCGUAAAGGGCGCGUAGGCGGCUUUACAAGUCAGGGGUGAAAUCCCACGGCUCAACCGUGGAAUUGCCUUUGAAACUGUAAAGCUAGAGUGUCGGAGGGGAUAGCGGAAUUGCUAAUGUAGAGGUGAAAUUCGUAGAUAUUAGCAGGAACACCGGUGGCGAAGGCGGCUAUCUGGACGACAACUGACGCUGAGGCGCGACAGCGUGGGGAGCAAACAGG
rnacentral:rRNA from 1 species